CCCUUACCCGCUGAACUUAAGCAUAUCAAUAAGCGGAGGAAAAGAAACUAACAAGGAUUCCCCUAGUAACGGCGAGUGAAGCGGGAAGAGCUCAAAUUUGAAAUCUAUCUGGUCUCCAGGUCGAAUUGUAGUUUAUAAAAGUGUUUUCGGGGGCAGACUAGGAUCAAGUCGUUUGGGAUAACGCAGCAGAGAGGGUGAGACUCCCGUUGCUUCUAGUCUUGCUUCUAUGUGAUACAUCCUUGACGAGUCGGGUUGUUUGGGAAUGCAGCCCAAAAUGGGUGGUAAAUACCAUCUAAAGCUAAAUACUGGCGAGAGACCGAUAGCGAACAAGUACCGUGAGGGAAAGAUGAAAAGAACUUUGAAAAGAGAGUUAAAAGUACGUGAAAUUGUCAAAAGGGAAACACUUGAAACCAGUCUUGCUGACGGAAUCCCAACCGGACCGACGUCUGGUAUACGCUUCUGUCGGCAGGUCAGCACCGGUUUGAACUAGUGUAGAAAGCCUGUGGAAGGUAGCUCGCAAGAGUGUUAUAGCCAUAGGUCCUGCUCUGGUUUAGACCGAGGAAUGCAGUCUAGUCUUGGGGAACCUGCCGCCGGGUGAUGAUUGGUCGCUAACAACCUCGUUGAUUUCUACUAAUAUAAGCCUGCACGGUGGGUGUACCACACCUAUGCUUUGGAUGCUGACAUAAUGGUUUUAAAUGACCCGUCUUGAAACACGGACCAAGGAGUCUAACACAUGUGCGAGUUUUUGGGUGAUAAACCCGGAAAGCGUAAUGAAAGUAUUAAGGUGAGACCCCGAAAGGGUGCACCAUCGACCGGUCUAGAAGUUUACGGAUAGAUCUGAGUAGGAGCAUAUUUGUUAGGACCCGAAAGAUGGUGAACUAUGCGUGAGUAGGGUGAAGCCAGAGGAAACUCUGGUGGAGGCUCGUAGGGAUUCUGACGUGCAAAUCGAUCUUAAAACUUGCGUAUAGGGGCGAAAGACUAAUCGAACUAUCUAAUGGCUGGUUCCCUCCGAAGUUUCCCUCAGGAAAGGG
rnacentral:rRNA from 1 species